CGCGGCCUAUCAGCUUGUUGGUGAGGUAACGGCUCACCAAGGCAUCGACGGGUAGCUGGUCUGAGAGGAUGAUCAGCCACACUGGGACUGAGACACGGCCCAGACUCCUACGGGAGGCAGCAGUAGGGAAUAUUGCACAAUGGGCGAAAGCCUGAUGCAGCAACGCCGCGUGCGGGAAGAAGGCCCUAGGGUUGUAAACCGCUUUCAGCAGGGAAGAAAAUGACGGUACCUGCAGAAGAAGGUGCGGCCAACUACGUGCCAGCAGCCGCGGUGACACGUAGGCACCAAGCGUUGUCCGGAUUUAUUGGGCGUAAAGAGCUCGUAGGCGGUUCAGUAAGUCGGGUGUGAAAACUCUGGGCUCAACCCAGAGACGCCACUCGAUACUGCUGUGACUCGAGUGCGGUAGGGGAGCGGGGAAUUCCUAGUGUAGCGGUGAAAUGCGCAGAUAUUAGGAGGAACACCAGUGGCGAAGGCGCCGCUCUGGGCCGUAACUGACGCUGAGGAGCGAAAGCGUGGGUAGCAAACAGGAUUAGAUACCCUGGUAGUCCACGCCGUAAACGUUGGACACUAGGUGUGGGUCUCAACCAACGAGAUCCGCGCCGUCGCUAACGCAUUAAGUGCCCCGCCUGGGGAGUACGG
rnacentral:rRNA from 1 species